UUCAUUGGCCAAACAGAACUUUAUUAAACAAUCAAUAAGAUAAACAUACAGAGAAAUACUUCCCCCCAUCACAACUUGACUCUGGUGAAAACUGCACAGAGGAAUCUUUUAAAGGAGCAUUGAGGGCUGCUGUAGAAUCCAAAUCUUAGCUGGAAGACUGAGAGCCUCUAUGCAAACAUGGCUUUGUGCAUCUUUCCCCAAAGGAAUUCCAUUAGUGUGACCUGAACUCAAACUCUCUGUGCCUAGUUUCCUUAUCUAUUGUUUAGGGGUAAUAGCUAUAAUGGCACACAGCACAUGGCUUGGUUGUGAAGAUGUGUACAAGUUGAUGUUUAUACUUGCUUACAAUAGUCUCUGGCACACAGUAUGCUCUGUAGUUACUGCAUCAUCAUCAUCACCAGGGCCAAUGUUAAGGAGGUUUCCUCAAAGGGCUGAAUCUGGAUUUUCAACACAGAGCCCGAGACUUGACUGAAGAUGGAGUGGACCACUUGGAGCUUCGAGUUUGAUGUUAGAACUUCAAUGGGUGCUUCCCAUUCAUGUGUGGCAAGCUCCUCAUCACUCACGUCUCAGCUCAAAUCAGAAAGCUGUUCCUUGAUUUUCUUAAGAGAGCACCCUUAGCCCCUGUAGUCAUCCACUUCAGCACCCGACUUUAUUUUGCUCAUCCUUGUAUCUCCUGCACUGGCUGAAAUAGCACAUGGCACACAGAAGGCAAUCAGGAUAUCUUUGUUAAGACAAAGAGGCCUCUCUUGUCAAGAACACAGUGACUGGAACUGGAACUGGGAGCUAAGAUAAGAGAAAACCAGAUCAGCCCACUGUAUUUCAGUCUGCCUGCUGGAGGCUGCCGAAAGACACGUGAUGUUGAGCUUUCUCAUUCCUGGAUUUCUGUCAGCGUGUACUUUCUUAUUUGUUUUGAUCUUAAGGCCUACUGGUCUGUAGAAUGGAAUACUACGGGCCUUGAGUGGAGACAGGACAUUCAGACGACCGAUUAGAACACUACAUAUGUUGUGUCUUGCUUUACGAAGAGUUAAUCCAGCUGAGCCUGUCAAGCAUCCAGCCAGGAAGCCACUCCCCAGGAAGUCAGAUUCAUCUGAAGACAUUCUACAAGGAAGGGAAUAGUAGUUAUCCCUUCAUGAGAUAAUGUUUGUUCCUAUCUUCCUCACAAGUCCUUCCUCUAGGCCAGUGGUUGUCAACCUUCCUAAUGCUGUGGCCCCCAACCAUGAAACUAUUUUCAUUGCUACUUCAUAACUGUAAGUUUGCUACUGUUAGGAAUUGUAAUGUAAACAUCUGUGUUUUCCAGUGGUCUUAGGGUCCCCCUAUGAAAAGGUCUUUCAAUCUUCAAAGGGGUUUGAGACCCCCCAGGUUGAGAACCUCUGCUCUAGGCAGAUAGAGCCUCUUCCAUACAGCCUGCCUGCUUUUACUCGUAAGCAUUACUUCUUUUUUCCUCUCUCUUUUUCUUUAGGAGCUGGCCCGAACACUAAGCAUGCUCUCUUGACACCUGGACUUUCUCACUUCAAAAAAAUAAAUGUCACCAUCUCUCCCGUUCUGCCACGUGGUCACUGGGCAAGCUAACUUCACUGGGCCCCAACUUAGAAGGCAUAGCUUUCUUUCCUCCAUCUCCCCUCUCCUGGAGCGGCUGAGAUUCACGGCUCACCCACCCCCCUUUGCUCUCCCUCAAACUCUAAUAACAUUGUCCUUGAGCUUCCAUCCUAGUACAUUUCUAAAUUCUUUCAUUAAUGAGACUAAGAACCCAGAUUUUCCUGCUAACAUUGUAGGGAGUUCUGAAUCAUCUCCCAAAGAAAUGCUCGGAAACCUCUCUCCAUGAGUUUGGGGUAGCCAGCCUCUAUUUUUCAAGAAUGACAAUUGCUCUAUAGCAGAAGUCAAGGGCUGUCAAAGUCAUCCCUGUUCCUGAGAUCUGGACAUUUUCCUCCUCCAGUCACCCUAAAUUCCCAUCAGGGUGUAGAUAUGGAAAUGGAGGCAAUCGGGCAGACCUUCUUGUAAAACCUGCCUUAGUCCAUAGCAUAAACAAUAUUGUGCCAUCAAACAAAUCAAAACAAAACAUAAUCUCUCCUUUAGCUUUCCAAAGGGUGACAUGCCAGGGUUUUGCUGUGCAUCUGAGAGUCUUCCCUGCAGGAGCACUGGUCCAAGAGUUCCUACAGGCUCACCCAUGUGGCUCCCUUGACAGGAAAAGAAAAAAAAAAGCACAGUACUGGUGCAUCUCUGUGGAGAGGAGAUAAGUGCCCUCAUUAGGAAGGCUUUGAAAAUGAGGGAUUGAGACAUCAUUUGAUCUGAUUUGGGUAGCACUACACUCUUUGCCUGCAUGCAUUAAACAAAGGUGAAUAGAGUAAAAGGGCAGGGUACGGGAAGGAAAUAGAAAAGUCUGUUGAAGACAAAUCCUAGUGAGUUUUCUAUCGAGGAAGCCAACAAAUAGCCUGUUAGAAACAGGUCAGGGGAAUAUAUAUAUUUAUAUAUUCAUUCUCCAUCUAUCUUUUGUGUCUGGCUUGCAGUCCAGAAAGCCUUAAUUCUGUGGUCUAUUACCAUCAGAGCAUGAACAUGAAUAACAAUGAUGCCGGCAGUUAAUGGCUUUCAACAUGACAAAGUUGUCUGAAGUGUUGUAUGCUGGGAAGUCAGGCUAAUUUCCUUACAGGGGUCUUUUCAUUGCCCUUCAGAUUUCUGCUAAAACAAAACAAAACAAAACAAAACAAAAAAACACCACCAACAACAUAUCUGGGAAAGAUUCUAGGCUUCUUUUGCCAUCCUCCCAUGCCUCUUAUAUUCUUUGCCUAGCAAGCUGGAAGCCCUGAGUUCAGUGGCCAUCACUGCAUGAACCAGGCACGGUGGUGAGCACCUACAAGCCCAACACUCCAGAUGUGGAGGCAGGAGAAUCAAAAGUUCAAGGUCAUCCUUGGUUACAUGUCAAGUUUGAGGUUAGCCUGAGCUAUAUGAGACCCUGUCUGUAAAGAAGGUGAUUACCUUUGUCCUCGGUUCUGUUACUAUUUUCUGUAUUGCACAGUAAAGAGGUUUGGGGACACCAAGUCAGACAGUUUCUCUGUUAUUGGGGCAAGCUGUGACUCAGGUUCUUCAGCUGUAAAGCAGGGGUAAUGCUAAUGAGCAGCUGGAACUGUUUGUUAUAUUUUUAAAAUAAGGUUUAAAUGGUGGUAAUAUAUGUAAAAUGUAGACUGCAUUUUUUAAGAGUAAAUUCUAAGCUAAUUAUUCAAGGAAAUCACUUGCACUGUUACUGUAAUUUUCAGUCUCUUAAACUUUCCAAUUUGUUACUUUAUAGAGUAAAAGGAACUUGGCAGGUGUGAUUGAUCUAAGGACCUUGAGAUGGGGAAUUGUCCUGGAUUAUUUUGGGGGGUUCAGUGUAAUCACACGAAUCCUUGAACGUGGAAGAGCUCAGCUGGUAGUGUGCUUGCCUAGUGUUCAGGAAGUCCCGGAUCUGAUCUGCAUAGGCAUUGGCUUACACUCCUCUAUCCCCAGCACUCAGGAGGCAUAGACAGGAGGAUCAGAAGUUCAAGGUCAACCUCGGCCACAUAGUUCAAGGCCAACCCCCUACUCUACGGAACCAUGUCUGGGGGAGGGUUGGGAGGAGAGAGAGAGAGGGGAAGAAGAGGAGGAGAGAGGAGACGCAGAAGAGAAAGGCAGAAUGGAGACCUGUGGGGUUUUCUCCACUUCUCCACUUUCCUGCUUUUCUCUCUGUAGAGGGAGAAAUGAAUGCCCAAAGCCAGAAAAGACAAGAAAUGGAGUCCCCACUAGAGUUCUGAGGAAGCUAUGCAGCCCUGAUUAUACCCUAUCUUUAGCCCAGUGAGACUCGUGUCAAGAAUCACAGUGGUAGAUAACAUGUUUAGCAUGAGGGAGUGAGUCUCUCUCUCUCUCUCUCUCUCUCUCUCUCUCUCUCUCUCUCUCUCUGUGUGUGUGUGUGUGUGUGUGUUUUGACUCAUGAAGUUUUCAGUGAUUUGUUUUGGUAAUAAUAGCAAAUGAAGUAUGAAGCAUUUAUCUAUUCUUUUAUCAGUAAAAACUCAGGAAUCAGAUAUUGGGGCAAAAAUCUGAUUGAUCAGGGAAGCUGAGAAGUGAUCGGUGACCUCCUUUCUCUCUCCUUCCUUGAUCCAAAAAGCCUGAGCAUCUCCCUAAGCCCCUCCCUACAUCUUCCUGUCUCUGUCUAUGUGUCUUGGUUCCUCCAAAAACCUCUUUGACUAACUUGGUCAGCUAGUAGCUAGCUCUUCCUUCUGAUUGAAAGCAAACUUUAUUGUCAGCCUUGGGAGUGUCAGAGUACAGCGCAAGGCACCAGUAGGUUCAAGAGGGGACAUCCUUAGUGAUUCUGAGAUUGAACUGAGAUCUCCAAACUUAUUUCUUUUCCCAAGGUUGAAUUUUCACAAGACUAGUAAGAGGCAGACCCACCAUUUGAAUGCUGGUUGUUUGUCUGAUAACUCAAAUGUUGUCAUAGAUAAUUUCCCAUGCCCCUUCUAGCUGACGCCUCUCCCAGCAGAGAUCUCCAACGAGCCUUCGUGGUCCCUCCAUUUUCCUGUCCCUGGGAACAUAUUUUAUUUGUCUGCUUGAUCACACACAUCUGGUGUGUGUGUGUGUGUGUGUGUGUGUGUGUGUGUGUGUGUGACCCAGUCACAUUUCUCCAGGAAGGAUGGGGCUAGGACUAAUAAGACUAAUAGAGCUUAAAAUGUAUGUGUCUUCAGUAUACCUAUCAAGACCCAAAGGGUUAGCCAUGAGACAGGAAUACUCAAAUAACAUGACAUAAAGAUUGGCAUUUGUAGGUUUUAUAGUUGGGCUGUGAUUUAUAGAAAUUGCUGAACUGUAGACUAUGGUCUAUUUGAAAUUUAAGUACUGCAGCAUUGCAGCUCAUUGGUAGUUAUCUUAUUUGAAGAUAUUCAUCCUUGGAUUUUGGUGGCAUUUUGCUGCCACAUGCAGACUAUUGACUACUAAAAUAGCAUUCAACUCAAAUGAUAAUUUUAAAAAAAUGGAAAUAGAUGGCAUUUCAUUUCACUGCAUUGUAAAAAUCAAAUGGGAGCUAUAGAAAUGGUUAAGAACAUGCACUGUCCUUGCAGAACUCGGUUCCAAGAAUUCAUACAAUGGUUCAGAACCACCUGUGCUGAUAUUUUGCUUAUGAUCCAAUAAAGCUUUCGUGAAGGUCAGAGUCCAAAGCUAGCCACAUCCAUAGAGGCCAGGCAAUGGUGGAACACACCUUUGAUCCCAGCACUUGGGAGACAGAGGC